rnacentral:lncRNA from 1 species
GUGGUGUUGUUCGACAACUAGCCGUGGAGAUGGACACUUACAUGAACGAGUUUGAUAUUGACGGGAACCACGUAGGCAUAGACACGAUGAGCACUACUAACUCAGCCGUCAACCAGAGCCUAAAGAGCACAGGAGUGAACCUAAGAAGUGGAAGGGACAUCAUGGUUGAAAUUGAAUAUGAUGGCUAUAAAAAUGAAUUCCAAAUCUCAAUAGCAUAUUCUGGGAAUUCGCUAACAAGUGUUCUCAAUUAUUCGAUCAAAAUGUCGGAAACGGUCCCUAGGCUCGUGUACGUGGGCUUUUCGGGAGGCACUGGUCCUCUUCCCGAAAGCCACAAGGUGAUUAACUGGGCAUUCAGCUCUUUUCCUUUAUCUAUGGCGGAUAAGCGGCUCAAGAGAGACAACAGGAUCAAAACCAUACUGGUUCUGGUUGUGCCAAGCGUGAUGACGGUAUUGUUCAUCAUGAUAUAUGUCUACCUCAUUAAAAGAGCACCAAGGAAGAGAGACAAGAAGGACGUCGACAUAGAGAGCCAAUCAAGGGAGGCCGCGAACAUUCCAAAAAUGUUCACCUACAAGGAGCUAGCAAAGGCCACUCGCAACUUUAGCAAGGAGAACCUGCUUGGCACUGGUGGUUUUGGAAGUGUUUACAAAGGGGUCAUCUUAGAUCCUCCGGUUGAAAUAGCCGUGAAAAAGAUCUCCGCAACCUCGAAACAAGGUUUGUUUCUUUACUUGUAUCAUGUACAGGGUCUCGUAGAUAAGAUCUAAACAUCACAGAAACAUAGUGCUGGACCAAUUUUAUAAUUGGUGUGAAUAAAGUAGAAGAGAGAAAUUCCAUAUAUAUAUAUAUAUAUAUAUAUAUAUAAUGUAUCUAGAAAAAGAGUACGUGGAGCUUAUUUAUAGGCUUGAAUAGACGAUAUGUAUAAUUAUAAUAAUUAAAGAAAAUGUCCUAAAUAUCUCUAGAAAAUACCUAAAUAUCUCUAACACUCUCCCCUCAAACAAGAGCAUAGAUAUUAAUCAAAUCCGGCUUGUUACGAGUAUAUUCUAUCCUCCCACGAUCCAGAGGUUUAAUAAAUAUGUCUGCAAGUCGUUCACCGAUCGUAAUGUGAUUUGAAAGGAUCACUCCACUCUAUAGCUUCUCUUGUAUAUAAUGAUAGCCUAAAUGUGUUGUGUUCUCUCAUGAAAUACAGGAUUGGAAGUUAUAUGUACUAGAGCCUUAUCGUCACAACAUAGGGGCAUAGGAAUUGAAGUUUUAAAGCCUAAUCUAGUCAAUAGCUACUAAAUGCACACUAAUUCACAUGUUACUUGUGUCAUGACUCUAUAUUUUGACUCAACACUUGAGCGGACAACAACACUCUAUUGCUUACUCUUCCAUGGUACUAGAUUUCCUCUAACCAAGGUACAAUAGCUAGUACUCAAUCUCCUCUUAUUUGGAGACCUUCUCUAAUCAGCAUCAAAGAAUCCUUCAACUCUACUAUGGCCAUAAUUUUGAUAAACAAUUUCUUUUUUUGGAACCUUCUUCAAGUACCUCAAAAUCCGAAUAAUUGCAUCCCAAUGAAAUGUACAACGAGCAGAUAUAAAAAUUAGCAUACCACACUAAUUGGAAAUGCAAUGUCUGGUUGAGCAAUCGCGAGAUAAUUUAGCUUGCCAACCAGAUUUUUAAUAUCUACCAGGAUUAUCAAGAGUCUCUCCUCCCUCAGCAACUGGAUUAUCUCCUUAUUCCAUUGGUGAAUCAAGAGCCUUUGAUCCCAACAUGCUUGUCUCAGUGAGCAAAUUCUGGACAAACUUUCAUUGCAAUAGAAUAAUACCUUUUUGUGACUGUGCCAUCUCAAUUUCUAGGAAAUUCUUCAAGUUGCCCAAAUCCUCAGUUUGAAAUUAUUGCUGAAAAUAGAGCUUUAUGCUAACCAAGUCAUCUCUCAUGACAAUAAUGUCAUCAACAUACAUAAUUAAGAACAACUUGCCUCCCCUUGAUUAUUUAUGAAAGGAAUGAUCAUAUCCACAUUUAGACAUUCCAAAAGAGAGGACAACUUUAGAAAAUCUUCCAAACCACUCCUAUGGGGACUACUUCAAACCAUACAAUUUUUUUAACUUGCAAACUAGUCUCCCGUACUUCCCUUAAGCAACAACCCCAAGAGGUUGCUCAAUAUACACCUCCUCAUAUGCAAGAAAGCAUUCUUGACAUCAAGUUGCAAUGAUGGCUAGUUAUAUGUGGCUACAAAAGAUAUCAAAAUACCAACAAAUGUGAACUUUGCAACACGAGAAAAAGUGUAUAAAGAGUCAACCUUAUACACCUGAGUAUACCCUUUCGCAACAAAUCUUUUUUUUAAGCAAGCAAGAGAACCACUAGGAAUGACUUUGAUAGCAUACACCCAUUGACAACUAAUAGCAAUUUUGCUUGAAGGAAGAGGUACCAAGUCUCAAGCUUGAUUAACUUGUAAGACCUUUAAUUCUUCUUUCAUAAGUAUUCUCCAGCUAGAGUUAUGUAAUGCUUCGGCUACAAACUUGAGGAUAAAAUAUUGUUCAACAGUAGAUGUAAAGGAUUGAAAGAAGGAGACAUAGAAGAGUAUGAACUAAAGUUUACAAUGGAAUGUUGAGUACAAGCACGAUACCUUUGGGAUGAACAAUAUGGGUCGGCUAAUGAUAGAUCUAGAGUUGAAGAUGACCUAGUAGUGGCAGUAGGAAGGGGGGGGGGGGAGCCAUAUCUAGUCAAGGAUGCCGAGCAUAGACCUUGAGAGAAGUUGGUUCUUGUGCAAAUAUCAGGGAAAUGGGUGGUACAAUUGACCAAAUGGUGAUCACAUGUAAAAUUUCAUCCACCUCAGAAACAGUAACUGGAACAUCGUGAUAUACAAUAGAUUCAAAGAAGGAAACAUUAGUAGUUCUAAAGUAAUUUUGAUGGAGAAUAAUAAUGGUAUCCCUUUUAAGUACGAGAAUAACAUAGAAACGUAUACUUGAUGGCUCUAGGAUUAAAUUUGAUACUCCAAGUUAAUGACCACGAAUAGAAUAGACACAAUAAAAUAUACAGGGUGGUAAGAAAAAUAAUGAUUGAUUGAGAAACGAAUUAGAAAAUGAAAUACCACCUUGCAAAAUCAAACAGAGACAUAAAGCCCACCGUCCCUCUCUUCUUUCCUUUUUUUUUCUUUUUAUUAUUAUAAAUGAAUACCACCUUGUAUAGCAUAAGAAGGCAUGUGAUUAAUGAGAUAGCAUGCAAUUAGGACAACAUCAAAAAAAGGUUUUGGGGACCUUCAUCUUAGAUAACAUGGACCCGGUGACUUCCGAUAGUGCCUAUUCUUCCUUUUAGCUACAUCAUUUUAUUGUGGUGUAUCGAAAUAGGAAGGUUCAUGGAUCAAACUAUGUUGAGUCAUAAAGUCAGAAAAGGUGCGAAAAAAAUGCUUUUAGCAUUAUCAAAAUGCAAAAUUUUAACAUGCACACCAAAGUGAAUAUGAAUUUGACGAUUUAGAAUGACUUUCCAUUAGAUAUAGCCAAGUGACUCUAGAAUAAUCACCACUAAAAGUAACAAAUAAUCACCACUAAAAGUAACAAAGUAUCUAAAACCUACCAAAUAUUUGAAUGAAUUAACGAAAAGGAGGUAUCGCUCGCUUAGUGACUUAAGGUAGGUAACUAACACGAUGCAAUUUGCCAAGUUGACAUGACUCACACUCUAAACUAAAAAGAGAUUGAAAACUAGAAUCUAAAUUUUGUAGAUUGUGCAACUAAGGAUGGCCAAGACAACAAUGGAUUUGAUGUAAGGAAGCAACACUAGAGCAUGGAAUCGAUGGAACAUUUUCAAGCACAUACAGCCCCUUACCUCAUGUCCUCUACCAAUCGUCAUCUUUGUAGCCAAAUCUUGGCAAAUACAAGAAUCAGAGUCGAAUGUCACCAAACACCGAAAGUUUUUGGUUAAUAUACCAACAGACAUAAGGUUAAUGGAAAUUGUGGGAGAUAAAUCAUUGAGAAUAAUGGCAAGAAGAAGUUGGAUGAACUACAUCAACCCCAUUACCUUGUGUAGAUGAACCAUUAGCUAAGGUAAUAGUGGAUGAUGAUGGAGUAAGAGACCAAAAAAAAAAAAAAACCUUGAAAGACCUGACAAAGGACGAGAUAUAGCUAAAACACAUGCAGUAACAUUACCUGUUUGUACCGGAAUAGUAGCGAAAGAAUUAGGUUGUGAGAUUUGAAACUAGCUGUAUCAAACAAAUUCCUCAUCAAACAUAACCACUAUGUUGCCAUCUGAAAAUUGUGGAAAAGAAGAAGAGUCAGUACUUGAUGUAGCAUUUGCAAACUAUUGUUGCGAUCCUAGUCUCCCAUGUAACUUGUAACAAGAUUUUCAAAUGCAACCAAGUUUGCCAUAUUAAUGAUAAGUCCAAACGGCCCCCGAGCUAUAAAUGGAAUUGUGGGACUAUCCAUAAAGUUGCUCUUGGCCUUGGCCUCUUCCUAUUCUUAUGCCCUAGCCACCACCAUGGCCACCGCGACCAUUAUGUCAUCCAUGAGUUCCCCUUUCACUUCCACUACCACUAUUGGUUCAAGACUAGGACAUAAGAGCUGACUAUCUACCACAAACGUGGUGUCCUUGAGAAAACUCACGAGAUACCCAAAAAACUCAAGCAAAUGUACCUAUGAGUGAGCAAUGGUCUCUCUCCUAGGAAUUAGAGAUAUGGCGGUUUCAUUGUUUGGACUGAAACCUCAUUCGAAUCCCAAUACAACCAAUUAUUCUCUUUGAAGAUGCUUUUGGUGAACAUUAGCUAAAAUCAAGAAAAGAUGAUUCAACUCCUAUACACCCUCUUAAAAUCAGCAAAAUAUUGUGCAACAGAACCCCUUCCUAUUAGAUUGGUAAAACUCUCACGAUAGCUCGUAAAUCCGUGAAAGGUUAUUUUGGUCAGAGUACAAUAUAGCCAAAUACUCCCACAAUUCUCUAAUUAUGUCAAUGUGAGUUAUGAGAUCAACUAUAUCACUCUUUAUGGAGUUCAACAUCUGACCAAGAAUUGUGAACCAACUACAUUCCAAGUUGCAUCAAUACUAGGUUUAGUCUUAGUCAAGUGUAUAGGUUAAUUUCUGCCUAUUAAAGUUAGCUUCACAAUUUUCUUCUAUUGUUGAAAGUUGGCACUAUCCUCAAGCUUUUUAUUGGUAAUUCAAUUAGAAGUAGAGGAAAUCACCUCAAUCAUCACAACAUUACUCUUCUCAAAAUCACCCAUUCUUUAAUAAAAAUAAGAAAACUACCACAAUAUUUUCCUUCAAGCAACUCAACUCAAUAGUUUAAUAAUCCAACACAAUUGAAAAAUAUCAUCAAUGGACUAUUAACAAUGUUGUCACAACACUAACAACCAAUUGAACCAACAAUGCAAACAUAGUAAUAGAGUAGUUGUAGCGUUUGAAGGUUCUUUAGGUAGAAAGUUCAUGCAUCUAUGUCAUUCCAACUGACCAAUCAUAGAGAACCAGAGCAACAAAGACCAAAUUAGGUAACCCUCCCAGAUUUCGUAUAUAUCUCACAGAGUUGAUCCUUGCAAAAUCAGUUUCCACAACCCAAUUUCCUUGAACUACCCUUGAGAUUCUAAAGGUCUCCAUCUCCAGGGACCAUGCUGAUUAACUCACCAAAUUGCGCAACAGCUUAUUGUUCACCACCCAAUGCAUUGCAUAAUGAAACAUCUCAAUCAAUACAAGCUAAAAUUGCCAUAAAAUUCCAAUCUAAUACAAUAUAGCUCGACCAUUAGACAAAAGACAUGAUCUAGGCAGCCUUGGAAGACUUCGAAAAAAUAGCAAAUAGAGGGAAACACCAAAUUGACCUCAAUGAAGCGAGAGUUAAGCUCAACAACCUAUACUCGAGUGGUGAAAAGCCAAAGAGAUGGAGUAGGCGACAUUUGACGAUUGCCAAAUCUAACCCAAGUUGGAUGGCGAUGCCAGAUCUAAGCCAGCAACUUUUUUUUAAUAAGAAUUUCUGCAACGAGCGAUGGCUCUAAUACCAUGUGAAUAAAGUGGGAGAGAAAUUCUGUUUAAUUUCAAUGUAUCUAGAAAAGAGUAUAUGGAGCUUAUUCAUGGGCUUGAAUACAUGACAAUUUAGGGAAAUUGAAUUGAAUAUGCAUAAUCAAAAUAACCAAAGGAAAUAUCUUAAAUAUCUCAAGAAAAUACCUAAAUAUAUCUAACAACUGCCAUAACUACAAAGAUCCUUUGUGAAAAAGUUCUCGAGUAUUUGUUAAUUAAUUUCAGGCAAUCUUUCAACCUCAAAUUCAACAGGUGAAAGACAGUACUUGGCAGAGAUAUGCACGAUUGGGAGGAUGAGGCAUAAGAACAUAGUGCAACUUCAAGGUUGGUGCCAUGAGGGGGAACAACUUCUGCUAGUCUACCAAUACAUGGCCAACGGUAGCCUUGAUCGCUUUAUUGGCAAGCAGUCCCUCAGCUGGGAGACCCGAUACGAGAUCCUAAUUGGUGUGGCCUCGGCACUACUCUACCUCCAUGAAGAAUGCGGGAACCCUGUGGUCCACCCAGACAUCAAGCCCAACAAUGUCAUGCUAGACGCCAACUACAAUGCCUACUUGGGUGACUUUGGGCUCGCGAGGCUGAUCCAAAGCGAUGCCUCAGCAACAACCGUGCUUGCGGGCACCCCCGGGUACCUAGCCCCCGAGGUGGCAUACUUAGGGAAGGCCACACCAGAGUCGGAUGUGUAUAGCUUUGGGAUGGUGGUCCUGGAGGUGGUGUGUGGGAAGAGGUCAAAGGGGAUUACAGAAGAGGACAACUUGGUGGAUUAUGUGUGGAGUCUCUAUGGAGAAGGCUUACUCUCGGAGUGUGUGGAUGAGCAAAUGGAAGGCCAAUUUGAUGAGGAGCAAGUGGAGAGGGCACUAAUAGUGGCCCUUGCUUGCUUGCACCCUUACUCUGCAUGCAGGCCAAAGAUGCGAAAGGUGGUCCAAAUUUUCCUGAACCCAGACGAGCCGCUGAUGGAGCUGCCCAAGUCCCGACCCAGCAUGGCCUUUGUGCCUGUCUCAUUCUCGGGCUUGACCACUUUCACCUACUCCUCCACAUCCAAGACCAAUUCUGCCUUCACUCGCUCACGACUCGGUCCACCCCCGGAGAUAGAACUUGAUCAUGAACAUGGGAUGCCGGGGUUGCAUUAAUGGUCUCAAGAAUUGAAGAUUGUAUCAGAAAAUUUCAGGUGAUUCAUAUCUGAGUCAUUUAUGAAUAAGUGUCAUACAUGAAUAAGUUUUACUCUUUAUUAUGUUACGAUGUAGUGCGGAAUGGAUACUCUUUGAAGGUAGCUGUGCUGUAUUUACUCUAUGAAUGUUAUGUUCUCAUGUGAAAUUGAGUUGGAGUUGUUCAAGUCAUGCCACCUCAUUGCAGGAGUUACACGGAGCAAACAAAGAAGAAGACCCGCUUAAAUCAGGAAUGAUAUACAUAUGUGGAUUGUAUAUUUAUGAAUUUCAAGGCUCACGACUUAGUUCACCACCAAAGAUAGAACUUGAUCAUGAACAGGGGAUGCUGGGGUUGUGUUAAUGGUCUUGAGAAUUAAAUAAUAUAUGAGAAAAUUUCACGUGAUUCAUAUCUGAGUCAUACAGAAAUGAGUUUUACUCAGUAUUAUGCUAUGAUGUAGUGCAAAAUGGAUACUAUUUGAAGCUAGCUGUGCUGUAUAUACAUUCCUCUGUGAAUAGUAUGUUCUUAUGUGAAAUUGAGCCGGAGUGGUCCAAGUAAUGCUUGCCGCCUCAUUGUAGGAGUUACAUGAUGAAGAAGAAGACCCACUUAAAUCAGGAAUGAUUUAAAUAUGUUGAUUUGUAUAUUUAUGAAAUGAAUGAGAAGUGUUUCACUUGCUCAUAGCUCAGAUCACCAUAGGAGAUAGAACUCGAUCAUAAACAGGGGAUGUCAGGGUUGCGUUAAUGGUCUUGAGAAUUAAAGAUCAUAUUGGAAAAUUUCACAUGAUUCACAUCUAAUUCAUAUAGGAAUGAGUUUUACUCUAUAUUAUGCUAUGAUGUGGUGCAUAAUGGACACUCUUUGAAGCUAGCUUGUUGUAUUUACACUCCUCUGUGAAUAUUACGUUCUUACGUGAAAUCAAGCUAGAGUGAUUCAAGUCCUAACGUCUCAUUGCAAGAGUUACAUGAAGCAUAUGAAGAAGAAGACCCACUUAAAUUAGGAACGAUUUACAUAUGUUGAUUUGUAUAUUUAUGUAUUUCAAGGCUCAAAUUAAUUUAAUGAAAGAAAAAUAAUGUGUAAAAUGAAAGAGAAGAGUUUCUGGCAAGAGAGAGAGCUUGAUUUUGCAGCUACAGGGAAGUUACAUAUGUCGAUUUGUAUAUUUAUGAAUUUCAACGCUCAAAUUAAUAUAAUGAAAGAAAAAUAAUGUGUAAAAUGAAAAAGAAGCGUUUCUAGCGAGAGAGAGAGAGAGAGAGAGAGAGCUUGGUUUUGUAGUUACAAGGAAGUCCCACAAAAAAAUAAAAGGCAAAUUGACGUGCGUUUACCGAGAGUCGAAAUCUCUCCUUUCCACGGUCGCUGCACGGCUAACGAACCAUUGGGCAGAUUAGGCUCGAGCAUCAUGGUUGAGAUAAAAGCAGAAGCAAACAUCUAAUGAAUGCAGGUAAGCAUUUAGGGCCACACCUGUGCCAACUGACACAUCACAUGAAUGGGUUGUUCCGUCUUCGCCCAAUCAAGAACAAGUCGAAAACCCGAGAUUCUUAGGUCAGCCUUGGGUACUCCACACUGGAUUGCCGAGUGACAAGCGGCGAACACUCCUUUCACGACCGCAUUAGUAGUUCUCCAACUCUACAUUUGAAUCAGUCAUUGGAAGGCUUAUUAAGUGGACGGGCCUUGGCUCGCACCUAACCCUGUUGUGGAGUGCGAGUUUUGACUCCAAGGAUCAAAUGAAGCACGCCCAAUCCUGAAUCAUAUAAUGAACUUUAUGCAUCACCGACGUUCAAGAGAAAUAGAUAUAUUUCACAUCCUGAAUGAUAUUAAAGUUGAUGUUCGGGCCAUACUAUCUCACAUCCCUUUUUACUUGAAAACACACCCUUUUGGGUCUUUUCAUAAAUAUAUUCAUGUUGUUGACUUUUACUUUUUUGGUGGAAAUAGAACCAUAACAUCGAUAUAAACAUAAGUACAUAAAGAAAGAGCUCUCCAAACAAGGUUGUCGGCAAUGCUACUACUGUAAAAAUGGAGAGUGCUAGAAUUAUAGACUUAGUUUGGAGUAUUAUUAAAAAGAAUGUUGUUAGGUGAUUGGAUAUUACUAAGUAAACCAUUCUUAUUAGUAAGUUUCAAUAUCUUUUAGCCAGCAGUGCGCUAUAUGCGAUUUGAGUAAUUAGAUAGUGAUGUGGUACUUCUAUUCAUAUAAGCAAAGAUAGUAAGGCCGAUUAAAGUCUAAAAAGAGCAUGAUUACGAGCAGCCAGUGAAAUAAUAAUUGGAGUUCUUAACUUACAUAAAAAAAAAAAGAGAAGAUAAAAAGGAGAAAUGCACAAAAUGAUAAUUGAGAUGAACUAUGUGAUCCUAUAUUAAAAAGUAAAAAUACUGCAUACCCUCCUUAUUUUUUCAUUCUAUUACCACUUUUCUCUCCUUUUAGUUUUUGAAGUACAUUCUACAUCUUAAGACAAACCACAUUAUCUAAAGAACCAAAUUGCCGUCCCUUAUAGAGGGAAAAAAAAAAAUCCCCCUUUAGGGUGAGCAUAUAGAACAGCCCGAAUUGGAACCACUUGAACUGAAUCAAACCGGCUGAUUUUGGGCAGCUCUAGAGGGUGCCGGUUUGGUUCUUGAUUCCAUAAAAUUGAAAUUGGUGAUUUUUGGUCCGGUUCUCGGUUCCAAGGAGAGAACCAGACUGAACAAACCAGACCAAUUUAAAUAUAUUUUCAAAAAGUAAAGUGUAAACCCAAACUCUAAUAUCCUCUCACACCUCGCUUAUUCCAAAUGAUGAAGUAAAUCUUUGUUUCUUUCAUAUUACUGUAUUGGUUCAUCCAAGUUGCUCCUUUUGUUUCUUGCUUCUUUCUUUAUUUCACCUUUUCUUCUUUUCCUACAAAGAUUCACUAAUUUUACCUCCCUCGCUUACUCAUACUUUGUGAGUCCAUCAUUUAUAAAAAAGAAUCCACCAAAUAAUCCUCAAUUUUUCGAGCAUGCCCCACCCCCCCCCCCCCCCCCCCCCCAAAUAAGCAUGGCCCCAUCAUCUCUCAAUCUUCUUCGCAAAUUUUGGAUGAAUCCCAAACUUGAAUUGCAACAUGGCUUGGGAAUUCAAUUAAUUAAAACAGAGUGAGUUGGACUUGUUAGAGUUCCAGUUCCAUUUGUUGUAUUUGAAUGUUCCUUAGGUAGAGGUAUAAAACCUUUUUUAGAUAUACAGGAUCAAAGUUGUCAGGUCUAAUUGGAGUGACGAGUAAAAACUUUUAACCAAGAUAUAGAAUCCACUGAUUCUAUUGGAUUGCUCGGGAAACACACCGGUUUGGUCUAGUCCCAGGACUAGAUGAUUUGCUUCUUAGUUCCUAGUUCCUGAAUGAAAUUGAACCAACUCACGAACCGAUCAUCCCUAAUCCCCCUAACUCUAUGAUGUAAACUCACAUUUCGAGAAACUAUUAAUACAAAGUGAUAAUAACUUGAAAGUAGCAAAAUAUUUGUUAUUUUUUUUUUUUUAAAGAUAAGGCUAUAUUUGGCAAUUAGGAUAAAAUUCAUAAUAGGAUAAUAUCAUAUCCCGCAUUUGGUGUUUGCUUAGGACAAGAUAAAGAUGGAUAUAAGAAAGAUAUAGCCCUAAAAAAAUUAUCAUAUGAGGAGAUAGGAUAAAUAUGGAUAUGAUUUCUAAUAUUCGUAAUAGGAAAAUUAUAUUUCUUGAAUACUUUUUUUUUAAAUUAAUAAAAUUAAAAAUAUAUGUAAAUAUAAAUAAUAUUUGAAUUAUAAUAUAAAAAAAUUCAAAAAAACAAAAAAUAACAUUUUAAAAAAAAAUUAAUGUUAUUAUUUAAAAAUUCGAAUUUAAUUCUAUCUUAUAAUAUAAAUCUGAUAUAUAGAUUUAAGGCAAAAUGACAUUGUUACGUCUCAUGUUUUAGCUAUGUCAGCAUCACGUGAGAGAGAAAAUAUGAAAAGAAAAAUCACCUCAGCGUUUUUUGAUAGUCAAAUCAAAUAGAUUAAAUGAAAUGACUUGUUUGCAUUUUUUUUUAAAGUGAAACUAUCUCUAUUUAUCAUUAAGAAAGUCUGCACCUUAUUGGACUACUUCAAAAAGUGCAAGCUACUAAGAACCGGCGCCCAAAAGCUCAUCAUAUAUCUUUAGAACUUUCAAUUGACAGGUCCAUAGGAGAGAGUUAUGACCAAGUAAACAAUUAAUAUGCUGUAAAGAAGGCUCGCAAGAGAGGAGAUGAAAAUUACUUGCCCCACGCUGAAGAGGUCAAUUGCGCAAUGCAAUGAAACAUUUCAUUUUCAAACGUGCAAGGACGCCCACGCAUUAUGCUUUGACUAGGGAAAGAGAAGAACCACUUUGUGUUCUUUUGGGCUCAUAUGCAUUACCCGCAUCCAAUUAAAUCAAAAGGCCUCCUUAGCUUGUCAUUGAAUAGAUAUAUGUCCCUAUAUCUCCACGUCCUAACGAGGCAAGAGACUGCAUCUCCUUCCAAUCAUAGGUAGUCAAUUCUUCGGGGGCAAGAAAGAAACAAACCCUAAAAACGGGAUAAGUACACUCUUAGUGCCAAAAGUUGUGUAUGGCGCUCACUUUGGUACCAAAAGUUUCAAUUGGAUCACUUAAGAGCCAAAUCGGAGGAAAAACGAUCACUUUGGUGCCACCGAUGAGAGAUUCUGACCAAAAUGAUUAUGUGGCUUUUAUAUUUAAAAAAAAUCGACAUGGCUUGAGAAACGACGUCAUUUUCCGUCCGCCUUAAGAAAACGACGGCAUUUUGCCAUCCUAAAUGGAUGGCCUCACAAAAGCGAUACCACACAACUCAUUUUGGGAUUUUUAUUUUAUUUUAUUUGGAGAUUGAAAUUAGGGUUCUGAUCCUCAUCGGCUGCCGACCUACCUCUCUUGGCCGCCGUUGCUCGGCCGUCGACCUAGCUCGCUUGGCCACUAUCACUCAGCGACGUGAGGUUCACACUUGAGCGAGAUCACAGCCUUCGACUUGGCUGCCGAGUGGCUGUCAUCGGGGUCGGGGUCGGAACCGUGGCCGCCGAGCAUGGGGGCCGUCGAGGAUGGUGACUGGCCCAUCACCAGCGGAGGUGGAGGUGAGGGAUGUGGGCGGUUGAAGGGGGAGGAGGAGGGAAAAUCAUCGUAAUUUUUAAAACAACACCAGGGAGUGGCCAAGAUUAUCUGAUAGGUCGAAUCGGAACCGGUUGUCGUUGAUGAAAAUGGCGUCCAGAUCCUUGUCGAAGAGCUCCCGUGGGACCGACCCGUCGAACUCGUUGAACUAGAGGUCCAAGAACUUUAGUGCCGGGAGCUCUAGCACGACCCUCGGGAACUUCUCGGCGAACUGGUUGUUGCUCAGAUCCAGCUCGAAGAGUCGCUUUAGGUUUCAGAACUUCUGCGGCACACUCGGUUGGAGUUGAGGUGGAAGAGCGCGAGGUCGGCGAGGAAGCCGAGCUCCUCGGGGAGGUACCCGACGAUGUCGCCAUGGUUGAGGUCGAUGCCAGUGACGAUGCGGAUGUUGAGGUUGUCGGGGGCGAGGAAGCAUAAGACAUUAGAGUAGCUGCAGAUGUCGAGGUCGACCCAGUUGGCGGUGAAGUUGUUGGGGUCGAAAAGGAUGGCCUGCUUUAGGGCUUGGAGGGCGACAUAGGCGUUGCGGAGGUGUGGGUUCUCAAAGGAGGCGGAGGGGUCGACGGUGACUUGCUCGCCGCGAUUGCUGAACUCGUUGAGGUAGUGGAGGAGGUGGCGAUGCUUGGCGGCGCCAUGGGCGAUGGCGGAGAGGACAGUAAGGGAGGAGAGGAGGAUGAAGAGGGCAGUGGUGGUUGAGAUUGUCCAGCAAAUUUAGGGUUUAGGAUUUUGAAUUGGGGGAGAGACACCAAACGGCAUCAUUUUGUUGUUUAAAUGCUAACUGUACUCUCUGGCGAGCCACAUUAGCUUCAAAAAUAAAUAAAAAAGUACUAUGUCGGAUUUCUGGCCAACCGGAUCGGUAUUGGCACUAAAAUGAUUUGAUUGAAACUUUUGGCACAAAAGUGAGCGCUAUACACAACUUUAAUACUGAUAGUGUACUUAUCCUCCCAAAAAACACUGAUAGUGUACUUAUCCUCCCAAAAAACUGAAUACAACCAAGAACAAGAAUUCACUUCUUUCCCAUCCCGCCAAUCCAUGGCCCUCGUAACUUCGAUUGGAUCCCCAUCUCGACUCAUGUCACAACCCAAGAGGACAAAUUAGGAAGCAAACCUGCGAACCGUUCUAUAUAUGUGCCAACACUGCCUCAUCUGUUUUACAGGGUCUCUCGCAUACGAACCAUGUUCUUGCUUCUGAUCUUGGUCUCGAUCUUCAUCGGUUCUCGGGAAGUUUAUUCUUCGACUUCUUCUUCUAGUCUUGAGCCUACAAAUUUCUUUUUCCCUUCUUUUGACCUCAGCUCUUGCACCUGCGAGGAGCUCAUUAACAUGGGUUCAGCGAGCUUGCAAGACAGGUAUUUGAACAUCACACCAGAGCUGAAGGAGUAAGGUAAUUUGAGCCUUGUGCCCAUGCCGACAAACUGGGUAGGGCGGGCUCUUUAUUCCCGGCCGGUCGUGGCUUGGCCUGCCAUGAUCUCCACCAUGUUCGCUGUCAGGAUCACCACAUUACCGAAUUCCAUAGCCUCUAGCAACGGGAUGUCUUUUCUCUUUGCACAAGAUAAUAGCUCCUCACCAUCGGACAAUUACGGCUCAUCUAUCUGGAUUUUUAAUCAGUCCACUCAAGGUACCUCCACCUAAUCCUUUGUUAGAUGAAUAUGAAAUCUGUGGUAGUUUGCCGGAGUGUUGAUUGAAAGACAAUCUCUUUUCGACUGAAUAUAUAUAGGCGGCGUUGUCCGACAACUAGCCGUGGAAAUGUAUACUUUCAUGAACAAGUUUGAUCCCAACGGGAACCACGUAGGCAUAGACACAACAAGGUUAUUAAUCCAGUCUAUGCCGAGAGCCUAAACAACAUAGGAGUGAACCUAAAAAGUGAAAGGGACAUCAAAGUCAGAAUUGACUAUGAUGGCUAUAAAUAUAAACUCCACAUCUCAUUGGCAUAUUCUGGGAAUUCGCUAAUAAGCGUUCUCAAUCAUUCAAUCAGAAUGUCGGAAACGGUCCCCAGUCUUGUGUAAGUGGGUUUUUUGGGAUCUACUGGGCCUCUACCCGAAAGCCAUCAGGUCAUUAAUUGGGUAUUCGUCUUUUUUCCUUUAUCAUUGGAGAAGCGGCUCAAGAGAGACGACAGGAUCAAAACCACACUGAUCUGGUCGUGCCAAGCGUGAUGACAGUAUUGUUCAUCGUGUUAUGCGUCUACCUACUCAUUGAGAACACGCCCAGGAAGAGAAACAAGAAGGAUGCCGACAUGGAGAGCUAAUCGAGGCAGGCUGCGAACGUUCCAAAGAUGUUCACCUACAAGGAGCUAGCGAAGGCCACUCACAACUUCAGAAAGGAGCCGGCUUGCUACUGAUGGUUUCAGAAGAGUUUACAGAGGUUUUAUCUCAGAUCCUCCGGUUGAAGUAGCCGUGAAAAAGAUCUCGGCAACCUCAAAACAAGGUCUGCUUCCAUACUUGUAUCACAUCCUUUUAGCACAUUUUCUUGAACAUGGUCCUGUUAAUAAGAUCUAAACAUCACGUAAAUAUGGUGCUGGAGCAAUUUUGUAUUUCGCUUUUGUUCAUAUUCAUCACUAGUCACCACAACUGCGAAGAUCCUGUGUGAAGAAGUUCUCGAUUUCACUAUUUGCCAAUUAACUUUAGGGUAAUUUUUCAACCUCAAAUUCAAUAGGAGAAAGAAAGUAUUUGGUAGAGAUAUGCACCAUUGGAAGGGUGAGGCACAAGAACAUAGUAUAGCUCCAACAUUGGUGCAACGAGGGGGAACAACUUCUACUAGUCUACCAAUACAUGGCUAACGGUAGCUUGGACCGCUUUAUUGGCAAGUAGUCCCUCGGCUGGGAGACCCAAUACAAGAUCCUGACUGGCCUGGCAUCAACGUUGCUCUACCUCCAUGAAGAAUGCGGGAACCCCGUGGUCCACCAAGACGUCAAGCCCAACAACGUCAUGAUGGACUCCAAGUACAAUGCCUACUUGGGUGACUUUGGUCUCGCAAGGCUGCUCCAGAACGACGCCUCAGUCACUACCAUUCUUGUGGGCACCCCAGGUACCUGGUCUCGGAGGUGGCAUACACAGGGAAGGCCACGCUGGAGCCGGCCAUGUAUAGCUUUGGGAUGGUGGUCUUGGAGGUGGUGUGUGGGAGGAGGUCAAAGGGAAUCAUGGAAGAGAACAGCUUGGUGGAUAAUAUGUGGAGUCUCUACUAAGGAGGCUCACUCUUGGAGUGCGUGGAUGGGAAAAUGGGAGGCCAAUCUGAGGAGGAGCAAGUGAAGGGGGCAUUGAUAGUAGGUAUUGCUUGGCUGCACCUAUACUCUGCGUUUAGGCCAAGGAUUCAAAAGGUGGUCCAGAACCUGAACAAGCCACUGAUGGAGUUGCCCGAGUCCUGACCAGCGGGGUACCGGUCUCAUUCUCGAGCUUGACCACCAUCGGCUUCUCCUCCAGGACCAGGUCCGCCUUCCAUCCCUCACAGCUCAAUUCACUGCAUGAGAUUGAACUUGAGCAUGAAUUGGGGAUGCCGGAGUUGUGAUGAUGCCAUCGAGAACUAGAGAUUGAAUUGGAAAACUUCGACCAGUUCGUGUUUGAAUUGUACAAGAUUGAGUUUUCUUUUUGAGUACUUGUUAUGUUACACAUGUUGUGCAGAAUGAAUAUUCUUAUAAAGCUAGGUGUGUUUACGUUCCUCUGUGAAUAUUACAUCCUUACAUGAACUGGGGAAACGACAGACGUACAUUGUUUGACCAAAAUGAAAUCGAACUUCAGUAUUUCAAGUCAUGACGCCUCAUGGCAGGAGUUACAUGGAGCACACAAAGAAGAAGACUCAUUUGAAUUAGGAACAAUUUACAUAUGUUGAUUCGCAUUUAAAAAUAUAAAAUAAAAAUCAAGGCUCAAAUUAAUCUAGUGAAAGAAAAUGAUUAACACCAUGAAACACCCUAAACUGACAUACAUAUGAUAAAUUUACAUAAAAUAAUUUUUUAAUCACAAAAAAAUCCCUAACUUAUUAAAAACGUGGAAAGCAACGUGUAAAUGUAACGUAGCGGGAAAAAGUCCAACACCAGUUGUUCCUAUUGGGAAAUCACCCUUGGUUUGUUGGCUGGGUCCACCUUCAUGUGGAGUCUAUCUAGCAUUAAAAAAAAGAAAAAAAAAAAGAAAAGAACGAAAAGAAGUGGAAGUGGUGAUGUGCGUGUGUGUCCAAAAAGUGAAGAAAACAGAGAAAACAAAAACUGCAAAAGCAAGGGGGAAGAGAAGAAAAGAAGAGGGCUGCAACUUUGCAACUUUGGUUCGAAGGCCAAAUAUUGACGGAAUUGGCUCAAAUUUCAGUAUGUUGUUCGUGAGAUCGAGGGCUACAAGUUGAUGAUUUUUGUUCGUCAAGAACCGUCCCCGAAUUCUCCAGUUGCGGUUAAGGUUUUUUUGCUCAAAACUUGUUUAUUUACCUAUGUGGUGAGAAAAUGAUGAUUGUAAAGUUGAUAUUGAACCUCUAGUGUGUGAUUAGAGAAUAAUACUUUGUGUAUCAUACUAUUCUUGGUGAUUAGUGGAUGUUUUUGGGUGGUCCGUGGUUUUUCCCGCAUCAGGUUUUCUAUGUUAAAUCCUUGGUGUCAUUAUUUGCUUUGUCUAUUUAUUAUUUUAGCAUUAUAUUUGCAUAUUGUGAGGCUAUACAUUGCUGGUUGUUGUUGGAAGUUAAGAGAAUUUUAUUUGAUUUAGUUUCUGGGAAAAAUUGAUCCUGGAUUGCAUUUGGCCGUGGUGAAUUAUUGUACCCGAGUUCUCCCCAACAUGGUCCAUCCCCUCCAUUCUCAAAGGCCCUUGAAAGGCCCCCCCCCCCCCCCCCCUCGGGUCGGUUUUUAGGUACUAAUAGGAUUUAAAAAAGCUAAUUGGAAAAAAUUAAAGAGAAAAGAAGACUCUAGAGAUGAUCAUAAAAAGUCAAUUGUUUUUUUCUUCUUUAUUGUUAUUUCAACUUUUUCGAGAUCACAAACAAUGUCUAUUGCCAAGAUUGUCUUAGUGCAUUUACAAGGUUGUUCUCAUGGAAAUUUCAAUACUGGGCAAAUUACAAUGGCCUUUCAAGUUAAUUUUAGGCUCUAUUCAUUUCACAAAAAAUAUAACAUUUUUGGAAAAUGUUUUCUACGAAAUGUUUCUUUUAGAAAAAUGACAAUAUUUUCUGAUGUUCAAUUGAAAUCUAAAAAUAAAGUGGAAAAAUAUUUUCUGCUGUUCAAUAAAGAAAAUGUUUUCCUUCAUGUAUUCCUUUUAAAUAAUUUUUUUAUUUUAUCUUUUUAAAUCAAUUUUAAGUUCUUUUUCUUUUCUUUCUCUUUUUUCUUCUUCUUCCUCGGCCCCGAUGACUGGCCACAGGCUAGCUCAAGUCUCACUACAGGUUGACAAAGCUCCUCGCCUAAGGCUAGGAAGCUCUAGCCUCACCAAAUCCAACGAGAUAGGUGAGGCUUGAGCCUUGCUAGCUUGCUGGAUCUAGCAAGGCCCGAGCUCACUUGAGGUUGUCAGGCUCACCUGGGUGAGGAGAGGCUCGUCCUCAUUGGAAUCUAGUGAGCUCGAGCUUUGUCGGCUUGUGGCGAGGCUUGAGCUCGCCUGUAGUUAGUUGCUAGCCGUCAUGGCUUCGACCAGCCACGGUUGGCGACCAGUCAAAGAAGAAAAAAUUAAAAAUUAAAAUGAAUUUUAAAAUGAAUUUUUUAUAAAAGAAAAAUAAAAGGCAAAGGUGUUGAGUGAAAAAAAAAAAAAACUAGGUUUAGAAGUAAAGAGAGAGGAUGGAAAAUGUUUUUCACUUUAGUGAAAAAUAUUUUCCCAUAUUUUAGAAAAAUUUUGUUGGUGGAAAAUGCUUACCAGUUCAUAUUCCGUCAAUCAAAUGUCGAAAAAUCCUAAAAAUAUUUUCAAAAAGGUUAUUUUUUAUGAAACGAUUAAAGUCUUAAUUAGGCCGUUUUAGACCUGACCGGAGUGAAUGGCAAGAUGGGUUGACUUGGACAAACGAAAAUGUUCUCAGACAUUAUUUGACCCAUUUUGGCCCAAGCUUGAUCGAAUUUAUAUGAAAAAAUUUAUACUCUCUGUAUGGAGCAAUUUUAGGCUUGACUUACCCAUUGAUAAAAUCCUCUCAAUUUUCAAAGGUAAUAUUGCUCAUUAUAGAAAAGAAGGGUGCCAAGAUAUGUAAUAUGAGUUUAUUGAUUUUAUCUAAUGUGAAAUAUUUUGAGUCCCAAAAAUCUUUUCUAAUCGGUUUAUUGAGUAAUCAAAUUUUAAGAACUACAAAAUCUAAAAAGUCAAAAUAAAACAUGUCUUAGGUAAUAUUACAGCGCCUACCGAAAUAGAGGAAUGGGAGAACUGUUAACCUAGGAGCUGGAUUUGCUUUCUAGGGAUCACGAAUUUGAUAGCGGGCGGGAGCGAGCGUGGUCAUAAUUGGCGGAACAGAGUCAAGUCGUAUCUCUUUUCACAUGAUAACAACCACCACCCUUUGGAAAAGCCCUAAGGUCAAACCCCUCUUUGUCUUUUUUUUGGAAAAUAUUUAUUUUAUUUUGUUUUAGGUCUACUAUAGAUGAAUUUUAAAAUAUUGCAUUUAAAGGACUUCCUAGAACAUACCAACCUACCUAAAUGGAAAAGUUUUAAAAAUUUACAAGGAAUUAGAAGAAGACUUUUCCAUUUCCUCACAAGCUAUUACUCCGUGCACUAGAUGCAUGUGAGUCCGAUGUUCUAUAAUUGACGAUAGAUCGUGCAUGACCAAACCUAGCAUGACCGUUGAUCACAUAGAUCUCAGUUGAAUCUAUCGAUCCAAAUUUAGGCAAGAAUUUCUCCCCAGUCCAUCUAGAUUAAAAUUGACGCCACAUUGGGCUCACAAGGCAUUUUUAUUUCUAGGAAAAUUUUUUCUAAAUCAUUCACUUUUGGCAAAAUAAAUGCAUCCUUAGACUUUAUUUAUUUUCCAAAAAUUAAAUAAUUCAAAAAAUAUUUUUCUAAUAAUGAUCGUUUUUAUCACUUGAUAUAAUCAUUCAUUAAAAAUAGUUUCAUUAUCGACAUAAUUUAUGUCCGAAGAUUGUUGUGAAUGAUAAAAAUAUUUUUAUUUCAUAUAUUUUUAUAAGUGAUACGGACAAAUAUUUUUUAGAAAAAUAUUUAUUUGGAUUAUUUAUUUUUUGCUAAGUAAAUGGAGUCUCAGCUCUCAAAUUCCCAUGAUUUUGUUGACUUUUUUAUUGUUGUAUUUUUUUUUUGAACAGUUUUUAUUGUUGUAUUGAUCCAACGAAAAUGUGGGCGGGCGAUGGCGAUCGCCACUAUGGGUGGGUGCCCGUGCAUCAACGUCACCGGCGUUCAGUGUGGGACCGGCCAUGGAAUUAGGUUUGCGUAUUUAACUCAACUGAAAAUGGUGCGAGGAUCAAGACAUGGGAGGUUGGUCGGUAUACAUUAAUUUUCACAAACUAAUAACAAAAUUAGGCAAAAUAAAAUAUACUUAUAUCCAAAUUCAUGUUUGCAUUGAUAUAUUUUAUAGUGAAUUCAUCAUCUUUAUUUUAUUGCAUGUAGAGUGGAUCUAGUUAUGUUAGUAGUAUUGAUUUUCAAAAUUGUUACUAUUUCCUACGCUCGUAACCUAAUAAUAAUUGACCAAGACUAUUGUGAUGAUCAAUAGUAUUGUUGUAAGGUGAAAAACUAUGUUUCUAGUUAAUGCUUGCAUGGCUUAUUAGGGAUUUUUUAAAUUGCUAAUGUGUGCUCAUAUGGCUGCAAUCAUAAAUCUAGGUAUAAAAUGCAUUGAAGCAAUAGAACUUGUAAUUCCCGUGGUGUCUCAUUCAAACUGCGAUUGCAGAUAAUGUCAUCGACAGUAAAGGUAAACAAUGUGACGUAUCCAAACGUGAGAGAGACUUCGAGGAUGAGCUAUCGAUUGUGUUGCAUUCCACUAGAGGGGAUGGAUUGCAUGGACAUUGUGACGAAGCACAUCAACCUCGACUCUUCGGAACCCAAGAAGAGGAGCUACACCAAUUGCAAGAAUGUUGUCACUGCUAGUUUCACUUCUGUUGAUCCUCCCAUAUCUUGCCACACUUCAUAUGGUUAAUUGUUGUAGCCGACAACACCCAUGCAAUAAGCUAAUCAAUGUAGUUUUCUUUUCUCGACCAAUGAUCAAGAUAGAUCAUAUCGUUAGUUUAAUCACACUUACAUACACCCGGUAGUCAAGAUAAUUUGUGCAAGUUUUGUCAUUCAUGGGAGGGCCCAAAAAGUGUUAGAAUUGAUGUUCGGAUGAAAUUAUUUUCAUGCCCCUUUUUACUUUAUAUCGCACCCUUUUGAGUCCUUUUUAUAAGUACAUUUGUUUUGUCUACUUUUACUUUUUUGGUGGAAUAGAACCAUAGCAUCAAUAUAAAUGCAAGUACAUAAAGAAAGAUUUCUCCAAGCAAGGUUGUCGGCAAUGCUAUCGUUAUAAAAAUGGAUAGUAUUGACACUUGAAUUUUUUCGGCCGAUGCAUUAAAAUUUUUUUGUUAACUAUGAAAGUUAACAAAGACUCCAGUCAACUCAACUUGACCCGGGAUUCACCCUGCCCAUUAGGCCCGGACUGAUAUGACUUGAUCCAAUCCGGGAAUAAAACCGUGCCUCUCUCUCCUUGGCCAAAUCUCCUAUACCACAUGGACUCACGUUCCCAUUACUCAAUGUUCUCACUAUUCACAAUGGUCGCUUGGGCGUCUAUUUCUUUAGGUCAGGUGACGCAAAAUUGAAAACCCCAGAGAAGACAGAGGCGUCUCUUUCACACUCGAACGACUUCUUGCGUUGACUGUAGGGCAGUUGGAAAUAUGGAGCUGUCUUCGGAUUUAAAGAGGUUUCACGUACGAAAGGAGAAAAGGACAGCACAAGGAAAAUAGGUCUUAUUUUAUUCCAAGAUAUCUUAGAAGGAGAAGGAGAACACGGUUUUCCCUAGGCGGAUAUUCCCUAUCCUUAUCUUGGUCGCUCUCCAUUAGCCAGCAGUAACUACCAGUCCGCCAUUGCCGGCCACUGACGAGCCUCCUCUUUAAAGAAGAACAAAAGCAGAGGGCAUGGACUGAGGAGAAUUGCGGCCUUUUUCGGGCGUCCAGAAGUCGCUCCCUCCAGGAUUCUCUCCGAGCCAUUUCUUUCCUUUUCUUUGCCAAUCCUCGCCGUCGCAGGAUCGCCGUGUCGUCAUUGUUGGUUCAGCAAGCGCAGCGAACCCUGUUUUGCCCCUGUUUUUGGGCUGUCAAGAUCCGAAGCAACUCGUACGUGUUUGAAGCUUCAUGGCCGGCGUGCACUCUCAUCGGCAAUACUUUUCAAACAUGUAAACUUGACCAGCAACCGCAACCCAGAACUCCUCCUUGGUAAGGUAAUGUUGAACCCUCUGCCUUUCCCUGUCAUGAGUGGAACGCCGAGACUCGGUUUCUUCCGUUCAUGCUCGUGUCGGAUCUGAAUAGGUUAGUUGUGUUGAUUUUUGAACAUUUCUGAGAGACUUCUUUCGAGCCUGGAUGGGAGUUCAAGUCUUGAAACGGUUAAGUACUUUUUUUUCCUGAAUCCACGUUCAUAACCUGUGUGAGGAAAUGCUAUAACGUUUCUAUUUUAAGAAUAAUUUUUAUUUAAAAAUAAUUAUUUUAUAUUUCUAUUCUCGAAAAUAAAGAUAUAGGUGUUUUUUACUUCUUUGUCUCAAAUAUAUACUAUUUUUUAUUCCGAAAAAUAAAAUAAAAAAUUAAUUAAUGUUAUCAAAUUUAUUUGUGUUCUGAAGAACAAAAGAACAAAAAAAGAAAAAGAAAAAUAGGAUGUUACCAAAGAUGUCCUAACAAUCCAGUGCAAGUUAGUUUCCUUUUUUGUCUAACUCGAGAGCAUAUUGCCCCGGAUUAAGUCACCUUAAUUGUUUUUCAAAGUCUUUCUAAUGACUGAACGCGUUUUUUUUCUCCAUAAUCCGUUUUUCUUGUGUUCUAUGCUCUCGAGGUCACCAAUGGCGAUUGUUAGUGAGUUGAUGAUGUUGUAUCCGUGGAUGAGUGUUUGACCAUCAUGUGCAUCUAAACCGGUACAAUGUCCCUUUAUCUGCUUUGUCCUAACCAUUUAGUUUAUGUGUGAACGGUGUUGAUGAUAGAAGUGGAUAUUGAUGGAUGACAAGAAGGGAGAGUAAGCCGUAAAUUUGGUGGUGGUUCCGGGGUGAGCAAAGGCGAUGCUUGGUUUAAAGCUUUGGAGGUGUAAGUCAUGGAUGGAACCUUAUUUCUUUUUGAGGUGAUGCUAGCGGUCCGGAGGAUUGCAACAAAAACUUUCUUUUUCCAACACAACCGCGUGGAAAUUGCUAGGUAAAACUCAGCUUUCUCCCCUUCAUGGAAAAUGUAUGGUCGAGGGUUCACCGUUUAUCUUCCUAAAACUUUCUUUCUCCAACAAGUGCGUGAAAGUUGCCAAGCAAACACAGAGUUUUCUCCCUCUGAUGGAAAAUGUUUGGAUGAGGGUUCACCUUCUAUUAUUAGCAAAUCAAUUCCCUCAUUUUGUCGUUUAUUGUAAGGGGUCCCUUCUUUUUGUACUCAUAAAUGCUCAAAGGUAAUUUAUUGUAAAGGAAAUUGAUUGGCCGGUUGUACUGUUAGUUUGGAAAACAGAUGGCGAACCCUCAGCCAUAUAUUUUUCAUGAGAGGGAGAAAAAUUUGUAUUUUGCUUGGCAAUUUUCUCGGGAAAAAAUCGUCAGAUGGUCACAUCAUCAUGCUAGCAUCACCCUAUUGUAAGAGAACACGGGGUGGAGUUCUGGGAAUGGGAAGUGAGAGUGGAAGACGACGAGAACACAAGGAAGAGGAGACUGGGUUUGGUGAAGGUGGGCUUAAGUGAGAUUUUUGGGCUUCAAUUCGUUUGAUAUAUUUGGGCUUAGUUGUUCUAGUUAUGAUUGGGUUGGUAAUUUUCGGGCUUGGGAAUUGGGUUGAUGGAUCCAGGCUUAGAGUGGGCUUGACGCUUCCCUUUAGUAAAAAUGGGCUUGCGUUGUGGUAGGUUACAAUGGGUCUAGUUGAUUUGGGCCUAAUCUGUUUCUAGUAAAAAGGGGCUUGGUUUAUUUCUAGAGGAAAUUGGGCUUUUGAAUUUCUACUGGAGAGAGGCUUAACUAGUAAGCCCUUUUGCCUGCGGUGGCCCGUGUCCAUGUGAAGCCCAUGCCUAAUCCCACACGCGGGUAAUAAUUUUUUUUAAAAAAAAAGGGAAAACAUUCGAAAAAAAAAAAAUCAGAAAACGGCUAGGAAUAAAAUCCUUGAUUAGGUUGUUAAAUCUUAGUGAUAUAUUUAGCUUAGUUUCGGUUGGAUAACAUAACUCUUAAUUUUUCAAGUUUUAGUAGUUACUUUUGAGAUAGCUUUGACUUAGAUCAAUCUUUUAAGUAACAACUUCAACCCAAUUUGAACUUAACUCAUGGGGUUGCUAUCCUAGGCCUUAAUAACAGUGCUGUGUAUUUUGUAAUUGGUGCUUCAUUGAGUAUACUUUUGGAUGCUUUAUCUUUAUUGCAUUGAUUAUGAUUGUCUACUUAUCUUUGAUCGCGCUCAUGCAUGGAUAGCAUUUAUAGGCAUAGGUUAAUUAAAAAUGUUCAAAGAUUACGUGAAUUAUUUAGGUACCAAAAGAGCACUAGUUAGACAAUUAGUGCAAUUAAGUCUUGGUCUUAAAUCUCUGAUUGCAUAAGAAAUAAAGUAUCCUCCAUUUCACUUGACUUCUAGUCGACCUCAUAGACUAGUGGUGACUCCUAUUAUGGAUAGAUCAAUUUCAAUCGUAGUUUCCUAAUGUUGAGCAAGUUAACAGUUUGGGAAAAUCCAUGCUUAUUGAAGACUAUUGGUUCCAAACUCGACAUUACCUCCAAACCUAUCAUCUCCUUGACAUCAAUCGAUAGUGCUAGAAUUAUAAGCUUCUUUUCUUUUUUGGUUUGUGCUAGUAUUUUAGACUUACUUUGUAGAAUUGUUAAAAAGAAUAUUGUCAGGUGAUUGGAUAUUACUUGGUAAACCAUUCUUAUUAGUAAGUUUUAAUAUCUCUAGCCAGCAAUACACUAUAUGCAAUUUGAGUAAUCAGAUAGUGAUGUCUUCUAUUAAUAUGUUAAUAGUCACUUAAGCAAAAAUUGAAAGGACAAUUAAUGUCUAAAACUCAUGAGUACAAUAAACUAAUUAAAAUAAUUGGUGUAAUCCCUAACUUAUAUGGAAAAAGAUAAACAAGGGAAAUGCGCAAAAUGAAAAUUGAGAUGUACUAUAAUAUCAUAUUAUAAAGGAAGCAUGCCAAAUGCACUCCUCAUUUUUUCACCUUUUUGCUCUAUUACAACUUUCUCUCCUUUAUUUUUUUUAAGGGAUAAGUGCACUAGAAUUCUUAAAACCUUUUAAAAAGUGCAAUUAAGUCCUUAAAAACUUAUCAAAUGAUACAAUCAAGUCGUUCUAUUAAUUCCUUCUUAUUGUUUUUAGUCAAAAGCUCCAUCCUACUUGGUUAAUGUAAAAUGUUUAUUGCUAUUUUCUCUCUCCUAUGUAACGUUGACAUUACUAAAACAUAAAACAUGUAGCUAAAAUGACAUUGUUUUUUAUUUCAAACCAAAUUUGAGUUAAAUUAAAUUAAUAAUAAAAAGGCCAUUUUGUUUCUUGAAAAAAGAACACAAAACAAAUCAACCCUUGUCGCUAUCAUCCCACCAUUACUAAAAAUGGCUGGCAAUGGGGGGGGGGGGGUGAUGCCCGAUUGCUCAGGUCUCUAGCUAAUAGUCACUAGUUCCUAGGUCUUUAGUCCUCACCUAAGGUUGAAAGUGUUGCAAGGCACCAUUCUUUUUUUCUUUCUCUCCUUUUUUUAUAAAAAAAUGUAACCUUUUAUUUAAAAUUUGGCUAAAAAAGAAUUAGAUUUAGACCAAAACGAUAUCAUUUUAGUAUUAUGUUUUUUGUUUAGUGAUGUCAACAUCACGUAGUACAGAGAAAAUAGCAAACAAGUCAUGUUACUUCUUCUUUUUUCCAAUAGUCAAGUUGGAUAGAGUUAACAACAAGACUAGAUUACAUUAAUUUAUAAAUCUUCGAACUUAAUUGCACUUUUGAAAAAAUUAAGACUCAAUUGCAUUUUGGUGAUAAAUUUUAAAAUUUCAAGUAUAUUUAUCCCUUUUUUAAAAUACUGUUCUGCUUCUUAUUAAACAAAUUAUCCAAAGAACCAAAUCACUCUCCUGUAAAAAAAAAAAUAUCAACCUAGAUCUAAUAUUACCAACCACAAACUCAUAACAAAUCUCCAAAGCCUAGUCUUCUACACCCACAUACACUUGCACUCGUCGAUCAUGGAUACCUAUCACAGGCACUGCAGCUUUGCUCUCUAGCACAAGCUGCAAGCUCACCGUCUCUCUCUAUCUCUCUCUGUCUCUCUCUCGCAAGGACUGUGAAAGGGCAUGGCGACCUCAUGUCUUAGGGUGGUGAAGGCCAUGGAGACAAAUGACGGUCCAAAGUUGUUGGGGGUGGACAGGAGUUGGGGAAAUCGGAAUUUGUGCUAAGGAAUAAAAAGCGGUUCUGUAAGUCUAGUCUGUCAGCUGAUAUGAGGUAUAUGGUUAGGUAUCCAACGUAAGACUUAUGUUACAAACUCUUAUUUCGAUAUUAAAAACAAAGGAUACAAAGCAUAUUUUCUAAGCUUUGUAGUCAUUACAUCAAAGUGGUCAAUUGCGCAAUGAAGUGAAACAUGUCAUUUUCCAAUGUGCAUGGACGCAUUAUGCUUUGAUUAGGAAAAUAAAAACAGAAUUGUUCUUUUGGGCUUCUGCUUUUGCUACAUCCAUUUAAAUUGAAUUGCCUCGUUAGCUCAGCACUCGUAACUUAAAUUGCAUCACCAUCUCUUGACUCGUGUCACCACCCAACACAAAAAAUUAGGCACUAACAAUGCCUCAUAUGAUGUUACAGGGUCUCUUGUGUCCAAACCAUGUUCUUGCUUCCGAUCCUAGUCUCACUCUUCCUUGGUUCUCAGCGAGCUUAUUCCUCAACUUCCUCUUCAAGUCUUGAGCCUACAAGUUUCUUUUUCCCUUCUUUUGACCUUGGCUCUUGCACCGGUAAAAAGCUCAUUUGCAUGGGCUCAGUAAGCUCGCGAGAUGGGUAUUUGAACAUCACGCCAGAGCAAGGUAAUUCGAGCCUUGCGUCGAUGCCGACAAACCAGGUAGGGCGGGUUCUUUAUUCCCAACCAGUGGCUGCUUGGCCUGCCAUGAUCUCCACCACUUUCACCGUCAGGAUCACCCCACCGCCAAAUUCCACAGUCUCUGGUGACGGGAUGGCUUUCCUUUUCGCACAGGAUAAUAGCCCCUCACCGCCGAACAGUACUGGCUCAUACAUGGGGAUUCUUGAUCGGUCUACUCAAGGUACUUCCACCCAAGAAUAUGAAAUUUGUGGUACUUUGCUGUAGAGUGUUGAUCAAAAAAUGAUUUCUUUUCAACUGAAUAUUUAGGUGGUGUUGUUCAACAACUAGCGGUGGAGUUGGACACUUACAUGAACGAGUUUGAUAGUGACGGGAACCACAUAGGCAUAGACACGACGAGCACUACUAACUCAGUCGUUGCCCAGAGCCUAAACAGCACAGGAGUGAACCUAAGAAGUGGAAGGGACAUCACAGUCGAAAUUGAAUAUGAUGGCUAUAAAAAUGAAAUCCAAAUCUUAAUAGCAUAUUCUGGGAAUUCGCUAACAAGCGUUCUCAAUUAUUCGAUCAAAAUGUCAGAAACGGUCCCUAGGCUCGUGUAU